rnacentral:lncRNA from 1 species
UUUCCCUUUCAAUUUAGGAUUUUGUUUUUCCUUCAUGAAUUAGGAUAAUUACUACUACUAUAAAUAGCUCCCUCUUGUAACCUUUGAAGGAGAGAAUUUUGAGUUUAAUAAUAUUUCAAUUUUCAAAUCUCUUUGUGAGUAUUUGAACAGUUAAUUCUUGGUAUUCUACGGAAUCAACGAGUCUUAACCCCUAAAUUCACGGUAUUCUUUUGAAUCAACGUGAAUUUAGUUGUUCUUUUGUUCCGGUAUUCUCUAGAAUCAACGGAAUAUUUUGAACAUUAAACUUCCGCUGCAUCAGUUUGGUAUCAGAGCAAAACCUGGUAUCACCAAUCUAACUUCAUCUACCACAAAACCUUUCCUUUUUCCCUUUUUGAUUUUUUUCGUUUAGCUUAAAAAAAAAAAAACAUAACUUUUUCAGACAAACCACCACCACCAUCAUACUUACCAACCCAAAAUCUUUCAGAUCCACCCAUCCUUACUCGAUUUCUGACCACUGUCAUCGGAAAUCUAAAACUUUUGCUUAAUUACAGUUUCGGCCUAAAAUUUUUAUUUACUUUCAGUUUAGCCCCACUACCUUUUUAAACCCGAAUUUAAAAAAAAUGCCUCCAAGAAAAGCUCGUGAUGCUCAUACUACAACUUACAAUCAAGAAGAUGUUUCGAAAGAUGAAUCCCUGGCUAGUAUGACAGCCAAAAUUGAUAUGUUAGCUGCACAAAUGGCACGAAUGGCAGAGUUACUUGACGAACGCCAUCGUACUCCAGAACGUGAAGACAAAUCAAGUGGAAGCUUUGCUAACCCAUUCUCUGGGCGUCGACCUAGAACUGAGUCUACUGAUGACAGAAGAUGGGAAUCUGGGUUGAGAAUUGACAUUCCCGAAUUUCAAGGAAGUGGUCGACCUGAAGAAUUAUUGGAUUGGAUUAACGCCAUUGAGGAAGUUUUCGAA